CGCGUGGGAAUCUACCCCAAAGUGAGGGAUAACGCACCGAAAGGUGUGCUAAUACCGCAUACGGUCUUCGGAUUAAAGUUUUAACGCUCUGGGAAGAGCCCGCGUACUAUUAGAUAGUUGGUGAGGUAAAGGCUCACCAAGUCGACGAUGGUUAACUGGUCUGAGAGGAUGAUCAGUCAGAUUGGAACUGAGACACGGUCCAAACUCCUACGGGAGGCAGCAGUGAGGAAUAUUCCGCAAUGGGGGAAACCCUGACGGAGCAAUGCCGCGUGCAGGAUGAAGGCCCUCGGGUCGUAAACUGCUUUUAUAUGAGAAGAAUAUGACGGUAACAUAUGAAUAAGGGACGGCUAACUACGUG
rnacentral:rRNA from 1 species